GGAGGGUGCAAACGUUGUUCGGAAUCACUGGGCGUAAAGGGCGCGCAGGCGGACCUGUAAGUCAGGAGUGAAAACUCGGGGCUCAACUCCGAGCCUGCUUCUGAAACUGCAAGUCUUGAGGGCCGGAGGAGGAGAGUGGAAUUCCUAGUGUAGCGGUGGAAUGCGUAGAUAUUAGGAAGAACACCAGUGGCGAAGGCGACUCUCUGGACGGUUCCUGACGCUGAGGCGCGAAAGCUAGGGGAGCAAACAGGGAUUAGAUACCCUGGUAGUCCUAGCCGUAAACGAUGAGUGCUAGGUGGUGGUGGUUUCAACGCCUUCACUGCCGGAGCUAACGCAUUAAGCACUCCGCCUGGGAGUACGGCCGCAAGGUUG
rnacentral:rRNA from 1 species